rnacentral:rRNA from 1 species
ACGGGUGAGUAACGCGUGGGAAUCUACCCAACCCUACGGAAUAACGCAUGGAAACGUGUGCUAAUACCGUAUACGCCCUUCGGGGGAAAGAUUUAUCGGGGAUGGAUGAGCCCGCGUUGGAUUAGCUAGUUGGUGGGGUAAAGGCCUACCAAGGCGACGAUCCAUAGCUGGUCUGAGAGGAUGAUCAGCCACAUUGGGACUGAGACACGGCCCAAACUCCUACGGGAGGCAGCAGUGGGGAAUAUUGGACAAUGGGCGUAAGCCUGAUCCAGCCAUGCCGCGUGAGUGAUGAAGGCCCUAGGGUUGUAAAGCUCUUUCACCGGUGAAGAUAAUGACGGUAACCGGAGAAGAAGCCCCGGCUAACUUCGUGCCAGCAGCCGCGGUAAUACGAAGGGGGCUAGCGUUGUUCGGAAUUACUGGGCGUAAAGCGCACGUAGGCGGAUAUUUAAGUCAGGGGUGAAAUCCCGGGGCUCAACCCCGGAACUGCCUUUGAUACUGGGUAUCUAGAGUCCAGAAGAGGUGAGUGGAAAUUCCGAGUGUAGAGGUGAAAUUCGUA